CGUAACAGCUCACUGGUCGAGUGGACAUGCGCCGACAAUACACGGGGCUAAGCUGGACACCGAAGCGGCGGGAUUUUGAUUUUCAGAAUCGGUAGGGGAGCUUCCCAUGGGCGGAGAAGCCGGAGGGCGACCGACGGUGGAGCGCAUGGGAGUGAGAAUGCUGGCAUGAGUAGCGAGAGACGAGAGAGUAACUCGUCCGCCGUGAACCCGAGGUUUCCUGGGCAAGGCUAAUCCUCCCAGGGUCAGUCGGGGGCUAAGGCGAGGCCGGUAGGCGUAGCCGACGCGCAGCAGGCAGACAUUCCUGCACCGCGCACGCGGCGCUACGACCGACGGGGCGACGGAUGGGGGUGGCUCGGCGGGGUUCUGGACGUCCCCGUGAUGGAGCGCGGCCCGCGGACCAGGGAAAUCCGGUCCGCAGAAGGGCGAGGCUCCGGACGAAGCGACUGAGCGAAGCGAGUGAGCCCGAGGUCCCUAGAAAAACCCCUAGGCAGGCGCGUGCGCGCCCGUACCGCAAACCGACACAGGUGGGUGGGUAGAACAUACCGAGGCGAUCGGGUCAACCAUGGUCAAGGAACUCGGCACAAUGGCCCCGUAACUUCGGGAGAAGGGGUGCCCGCGCGUACGUGAACGGACUUGCUCCGGGAGCGGAGGCGGGCCGCAGUGGAGAGGCCCAAGCGACUGUUUACCAAAAACACAGGACUCUGCAGAAGCCGCAAGGCGACGUAUAGGGUCUGACGCCUGCCCGGUGCCGGAAGGUCACGCGGAGGAGUUAGCGCAUCGCGCGAAGCCCCGAAGCCAAGCCCCGGUAAACGGCGGCCGUAACUAUAACGGUCCUAAGGUAGCGAAAUUCCUUGUCGGGUAAGUUCCGACCUGCACGAAAGGCGCAACGACUUGGGCGCUGUCUCGACCAUGGACCCGGUGAAAUUGCACUGGUCGUGAAGAUGCGACUUACCCGCGGAAGGACGGAAAGACCCCGUGAACCUUCACUGCAGCUUGGCAUUGGCCGCUGGUCCCGCGUGUAGAGGAUAGGCAGGAGGCAUCGAUCCGGAGGCGCCAGCCCCCGGGGAGCCGCCCUUGGAAUACUGCCCUCGCGCGACCGGCGUCCUAACCCGAGGCCGUCAACCGGCUCGGGGACCGUGCCAGGCGGGCAGUUUGACUGGGGCGGUCGCCUCCUAAAGGGUAACGGAGGCGCGCGAAGGUCCGCUCGGGACGGUCGGCAACCGUCCUUUUGAAUGCAAGAGUACAAGCGGGCUUGACUGCGAGGCCCACAAGCCGAGCAGGUGCGAAAGCAGGCUCUAGUGAUCCGGCGGCCCCGAGUGGG
rnacentral:rRNA from 1 species